UAAUGACCUGAUGACCUUUGCUCU
rnacentral:piRNA from 1 species